rnacentral:rRNA from 1 species
GAUGAACGCUGGCGGCGUGCCUAAUACAUGCAAGUCGAGCGAACAGACGAGGAGCUUGCUCCUCUGACGUUAGCGGCGGACGGGUGAGUAACACGUGGAUAACCUACCUAUAAGACUGGGAUAACUUCGGGAAACCGGAGCUAAUACCGGAUAAUAUAUUGAACCGCAUGGUUCAAUAGUGAAAGACGGUUUUGCUGUCACUUAUAGAUGGAUCCGCGCCGCAUUAGCUAGUUGGUAAGGUAACGGCUUACCAAGGCAACGAUGCGUAGCCGACCUGAGAGGGUGAUCGGCCACACUGGAACUGAGACACGGUCCAGACUCCUACGGGAGGCAGCAGUAGGGAAUCUUCCGCCAUGGGCGAAAGCCUGACGGAGCAACGCCGCGUGAGUGAUGAAGGUCUUCGGAUCGUAAAACUCUGUUAUUAGGGAAGAACAAAUGUGUAAGUAACUAUGCACGUCUUGACGGUACCUAAUCAGAAAGCCACGGCUAACUACGUG